rnacentral:lncRNA from 1 species
AGGGGGCGAGCCCCGGGGCGCCGCACGUGGACCCCCGGCACGGGCACGCUCACGUGCACCCGUCCUUUCACGCCAACGCGUUUCCUGCUGCCCCCACCCCUGCACCACUGCACGUCCCAGACCCCGGCCCAGCCUCCCCGCGGUCCCUAGGCUGGGGGAGCUCAGACAGGAGGCUAGGAGGAGGGGGACUUUGGGGCUGAGGCUUUGCCAAAGGAGCAGGAGUUUGCCAAGUGUUGUAGGAAGCGGGAAGGGUGCGCCAGGUAGGGGGCACGGCGUGUGCCAAGGCCCGGAAACGUGAAACCGAGUGCUUUUCGGGGGCAACCGGGAAGUCAGUUGGUGGAGAAAAAUCAAAGAUGGGAGGAAAGGCGAGGCUGACAAGGACCCUAAACGGUGAUUCCCCAAGUCGGCCACUGGAGGGAUGACUUGGGGGACCAGAGAGGAAGAGCAGGUGAGGGGGAGCGGCGGCCAGGACAUCUGGGAGGUGGCUAGACCCGUGGCCUGGACUUUGGGGGGCGGUCGAGUUGGAUCGAUGAUCGAUGGGGACCCUGGCGGCCUCACCCUGGGGGAGGUAGAGACGAAAAAGGAACUACGGUGUGCCCGGAAGGUGGUGGCUUUAGGUCCACAGGGAGGUGGUUGGCAAGGCGGGGGUAACAGGGGGAAGGAGAAAAUCUGAAAUGCCGGUGUGAGCUCCGGGCCAAGAGAGUUGAGGACUCAGGAGGCAGGAAUCCCCCGUGGCCGCCCGCUGCUUGGCUGUGGGCUCCAACUUGGUGUGUGCUCAGAGAAGGCAGUGGUUGGAGUGAACAGGGCCUGUGCCAGGUGGGGAGACUAGCCAAGGUGUUUGUGCAGCCUGGCCUCUGGAGCGGCCUGGGAAGAGCUGGAGUUCGCAGGGUGGGAGCUGCCCUGUGGCUGGGAGCCCGUGCUGGCGUCCCUGCCAGGCGGUGAUCUCACAGGUGAGCGGUGCUUGGGGAGACGCGGAGCUGUGGGCGGGCAGGAGAAGGUCAGUGGAGGUCAUGGCUUUUGGCUUGAGGCCGGAGUCCUCUGGGGGUGGCCGAAUGCGCCCUUGGAGCUGCCUUGGGAGGUGGCUAGGGUGGACAGCAGUGGAAGCCAGGCCCUUGGCUUAGAGCCACUGGGUUGGAGGGAUUGAGCCAGUGCCCGGGCACAGCCGCCCCCACAGGGCCUUGCCCCACCCGCCCUCCUCUCCCAGCACCAUGGGAAUGGGAGUUACCGGGCUGGAGGCUGGGGACGCCACCACCCCGUGGCCAAGGGCGUUGGGGCCCAACCCAGGAGCCUGGUGCAGCCCCACCCACGGGCCGCCCAGCCCUGGAAGGGCAGAGAACUGGCUGCCUCUGGGGUCACUUGGGACAGAGACAGGGUCUAGCUAUGUUGCCCCGGCUGGUAUCAAACUCCUGGACUCAAACGAAAGUGCUGGGAUUCCAGGCAUGAGCCAGCGCUCCCGGCCUGCAUACGGGAUGAUUCCAUGUGGACUGCCACAUCAAGGAAGCAAACAACAAGGAAAGCCUGGCGCUGCGU